rnacentral:rRNA from 1 species
ACGAACGCUGGCGGCGUGCUUAACACAUGCAAGUCGAGCGGUAAGGCCCUUUCGGGGGUACACGAGCGGCGAACGGGUGAGUAACACGUGGGUGACCUGCCCUUAGCUCUGGGAUAAGCCUGGGAAACUGGGUCUAAUACCGGAUAUGACUCCAUGACGCAUGUUGUGGGGUGGAAAGCCUUGUGCGGCUAGGGAUGGGCCCGCGGCCUAUCAGCUUGUUGGGUGGGGUGAUGGCCUACCAGGCGACGACGGGUAGCCGGCCUGAGAGGGCGACCGGCCACACUGGGACUGAGACACGGCCCAGACUCCUACGGGAGGCAGCAGUGGGGAAUCUUGCGCAA